GUACCGGACACGGGGUGCCCCCCCUCGGGGGCUGAGAUCACACCCGUCGAACCUGAACCAGUUCGUACUGGCGGAGGGAUGUCUUCCAUGCCUUUG
rnacentral:ncRNA from 1 species